AAAAAAAAUAAAAGUAAAAAAUAAAACAAAUCGACUGCAAUUCAAUUAAACCAUUCACUUAAAAAACCAUCCGAAGCUCUUCAAUUCAAGCUACAUGAAUAAAACAAGCAUCCUACAUAAGUAAAUCUAAUUAUGCUGUUAAAAAUUAAAGAAACACCAAAGUUGAGAACUUAAUCCAUGAAAUACCAUCAUAAGCAUAACAAAUGAAAUCAGUCGGAUGUCAAAGUUGAGGACCUAUACAAAUUGAAAUUGCAUUUGGCUUACACAUCAAUACGCACAGAGAUAGAGAGGGAGAGAGAGCUUGUCGUGCGGUGACGACUACUCGCAGGUGGCAACAGCUGGAGGUGUGGCAGCUACUGGUGCGGCUGGAGGGCGCUCUGCUCUAGUGUUGCGGACGACGACGACAGCUACUGGGAUGCUGCGGGCGGCGGCAGCGGCGGCAGACGGUGCGGCGGCAAGAGAAAGAGAUGAGUUCGCGUGCGUGACUCGUGAGCAGAGGCAGGAGCAGCGUUUAGGAUUUAGGAGAAUUAGGGAUUUAGUUAUUUAGGGUUCUCCUUAUCAUUUAUCAAUUAGAAUUAGAAUGAUAAUAAACCAGAAAUUAUAAUUUAAAAUAUAUAUAAUAUAACAAAUCUUUAAAAAAUCGGUUAUUCGGUUAACCCGAUUCGGUUAUCGGGUUAACCGAUAACCAAAAUUUUUUGAGAAUCACUAACCGUUACCGAACCGAUAACCGAAAAAAUCGGUUAUCGGGUAACCAAACCCGAGCGGUUCGGUUCGGUUAUUGGAUUAACCAAUACCCG
rnacentral:lncRNA from 1 species